CCUGCAUAUUUCGUUGUUUUUAAGUGAAAAUUGCCUUUGAUUUGUUUUUAUCCAGGUGUCAUAUCUGAUACACUUCUCUUGAGAAUUUCUAGGCAAUAUACGCGCAAUUAUUUCUACCAGACUUGGCUUUGUUGAAAGAUAUCAUGCAUCCAGGGCAUACAAUUUUGUAUGUCCUGAACCGCCGGGGGAGCAGAUCGCUUGCAAUCACAGUAGUGAGGAAUCAGAUGCUGUCUGCAGCAGACCAUGGGUUUAAUGCUGCCUCUUCUCUCCACUUAUCACAGGAACACAUCUCAAAAAACAGAUGCCUAUUUCUGAUGAGUAUGAUGAAAAGGAGGAAAUAAGAAUGAACAGUGGCCCAACAAUGUGUAUACUGCCUUUCAAUGGGAAUUGGAGUACAUUGAACAUGUGGUUGCCAUAGUAACUGAUAUUUAAACAACUUCUUUCUUAUUAACUAUAUGCUUAUGUCAUAAUGAUGGUGUUAAGUUUUAUUUGUUAUUAAUGGUAAUAGUCAGUGUAUAUAUGUAAACAAUAUACAUUGAUUUAAAAGCACCAUGCUUAAUUUGAUAGUGUGAUAAUAUUCAGUCAGUAUUUUUCAAAUGUUAUAGAAAAUGCACAAGCAUGUACAUGUCAAACAUGUUUAAAAUUUGAUUGAAAUGAAAUUAAAAUCCAACAUAUAUCUUUAAAAAAAAAAGGUUACUAGUAAAUAGGGUUAAGCUGUCUAAAGUAAAAGCACAAUAUUGGCCUGUUGUUGUGUUUAAGCACAUCUGAACUAUUCUUUUGUGUUUUAUGUACCAGUAACAUAUAUGGUUACCAUAGCAACAAUCACCCUUAAGCACUUAAAUACUGUCUCUUGUAUGAUUUUUUUUUAAAUCUGUAUUCUAAAUGGCAAUCAUAAUAAUGAUUUGCAAGGAUAAUGGAAAAUUCCAACAAAAUUUUAACAUAAUAUGUACUAUAGGCCAUGCAAACUAAAUAACAAUAGCGAAAACUCUGCCAAAUGUUAAUGUAUUAUUUCAAAAUUUCUAAAUUUUGAAUGCUCUGUAAAAAUUAUGUUUUUUAAAAUCCCACAGGUGUUUUGGUAUUUUCUUAUUGUUUGAUAUGUCCUCUUUCUUAAUGUAUCAAUCUUUUUUGUUUAUUGAUCUGGUUAUGGAUGAUAAGCUCAUUUAAAAAGCUCCUUUUUUUCAUAAAUGAACUUUGGAAUUUUUGCAUGUAUUCCUAGGUAGUUUCCAUGGCAACCAAUAUUGUUAAUUUUUCAACG